UACAGAGGUGGCAAGCGUUGUUCGGAAUUACUGGGCGUAAAGGGCGCGUAGGCGGUCUUGUCAGUCCCUUGUGAAAUCCCCCGGCUCAACUGGGGAACUGCACGGGAAACAGCAGGGCUUGAGUUCGGGAGAGGGAAGCGGAAUUCCGGGUGUAGCGGUGAAAUGCGUAGAUAUCAGGAGGAACACCGGUGGCGAAGGCGGGUCUCUGGGCCGAUACUGACGCUGAGGAGCGAAAGCGUGGGGAGCGAACAGG
rnacentral:rRNA from 1 species